rnacentral:rRNA from 1 species
CCUACGGGUGGCAGCAGUGAGGAAUAUUGGUCAAUGGCCGAGAGGCUGAACCAGCCAAGUCGCGUGAGGGAAGACGGCCCUACGGGUUGUAAACCUCUUUUGUCGGGGAGCAAAGCGAGUCACGUGUGACUCAUUGAGAGUACCCGAAGAAAAAGCAUCGGCUAACUCCGUGCCAGCAGCCGCGGUAAUACGGAGGAUGCGAGCGUUAUCCGGAUUUAUUGGGGUUAAAGGGUGCGCAGGCGGAGGUGCAAGUCAGCGGUCAAAUUGCGGGGCUCAACCCCGUACUGCAGUUGAAACUGCAUGCCUUGAGUGCGCGAGAGGUAUGCGGAAUGCGUGGUGUAGCGGUGAAAUGCAUAGAUAUCACGCAGAACUCCGAUUGCGAAGGCAGCAUACCGGCGCGCAUCUGACGUUGAGGCACGAAAGCGUGGGGAGCAAACAGGAUUAGAUACCCCAGUAGUC